UGCCCGAUAGUGUAAUGGAAGCACAUGUGACUUUGACUCAUAGGGUCCUGGUUCGAACCCAGGUCGGGCAACCA
rnacentral:tRNA from 2 species